CAGCCGCCGCGGUAAUACGUAGGUGGCAAGCGUUGUCCGGAAUUAUUGGGCGUAAAGGGCUCGCAGGCGGUUUCUUAAGUCUGAUGUGAAAGCCCCGGCUCAACCGGGGAGGGUCAUUGGAAGCUGGGAAACUUGAGUGCAGAAGAGGAGAGUGGAAUUCCACGUGUAGCGGUGAAAUGCGUAGAGAUGUGGAGGAACACCAGUGGCGAAGGCGACUCUCUGGUCUGUAACUGACGCUGAGGAGCGAAAGCGUGGGGAGCGAACAGGAUUAGAUACCCCCGUAGUCCCUGUCUCUUAUACA
rnacentral:rRNA from 1 species